AUAUUGCUUUUAAACUUGGUUUGUUGUGCUCCUGAUAUAGGAAUUAAACAUGAACCCAAUUAGCUACAAGGACAGUCAUUUUGUAUUGAGCCGCUAUGAUUCUCCCCAUUUUCUGAAAGUGUGAACAACUUUCAAACUGACCAACCCACUCUAUUAAUUAGAUUCUAGAAUCAUCUGUCGUCUUCUUUGGCAUUCCAAACAAGCAAUGGCUGUGAUUUUAGAUACCACUCUUUCCUCAAUUUCAUACCACUCUUCCAAUUCUCUCCAUAUUCUCAAGCUAUGGCAUAUAAACAUGACUUCUGGUCAAGUUUCAACUUUUCAGGUUCAUGAACAUCUGAGACUAAAGCUAUGUGAUUUAUACGAGAAUGAUUUUAUCUUUGAUAAAUUUGAGUGUUGCCUUAGUGGUAACGGUUCAUGAGUAGCAACUGGAUCUUAUAGCAAUCUUUUUUCGUGUGUGUGGUUGUGCUGCGGAAAGCACAAAAGCAACUACAUUAGGCCCGGGCAAAAACCCCAGGAUCAGAAGUUCCUGGUGCUGAUGCUAAUGGAAACUCAUAUGAUUUCAAAACCAAACAGCUCCACCUUACGUGGCAUCCAACAGAAAAUUCAAUUGCAUAUGCUGCUGCAAACAGCUUGUACGCGUAUUAUGCGUAAGGCAUGACAGGAGGAAUUGGUGUUCUCUUGGGUUGCAUUUCUCGGAGUGCUUUUCCGAAAGGCUUCUUUUCAAAUCAACUCGAGGUUCUACCAUUUCUCACUUGCAGAAUCCUUACCGACGCAUAUUACAUGCUCUUAAUGUUAAGGUCCAGAAAUGGCUCAAAGAAUGGACAAUUUAGCAACUUAUUUGUCAAUGAACCGGUGUUCUUGUUCUCUUACCAUAUUCUGCUUCACCCUUCUCGAGAUCUCCAAUGUAUCUGAUUAACGUCAGGAGAGAUGUCCUUAUAGUUCUCCUUCAAGCAAAACUGCCAGAUGUGCAGAAAUUGUCACUGGAUGUAAGGCGAUUCUCUUCAGUCCUAACAUGAAGCAAAGACCAUCAAUUAGGGAUAUCUGUGCUUUUUUGGAACAACUUCAUCAACCUAUCACACCAGGAGACUAAGGGCACAAUCACUUGUUCAUCCAUAUUUAGUUGCUAGAAACUUAAUUGGAAAAAUAGUUCUUUGAAGAAUACGAAGCAGCGAAAUAUUUGUGACAAUGGACAAAAUUUGCAAUAUCCUAUAUGGCUCUUAAUUGGACUAUGUGAUUUAUUGAUGGUGCAAAGUACAAACACUGACAGAAAAGUGAUACAUCUUUAUUGAUCAUGUAGCAUAUGGUGGUGGAUAGGCUAUAAUGAGCAAAUGAGACAUAUGCUUGGGUUUGAUUUUGCAAGUGUAUUAAAAGGAAGUACUAUUAGAAAGGUCACGAUUUCAGUUCUAGAUAAGUGUGAUAUACAUGAUUCUAUGUUUGUCAUCUUCUGCCAUGAAUGGAAUAUUGUGUCUUUGCUCUUGUGAA